rnacentral:tRNA from 1 species
GCCUCCGUAGCUCAGUUGGUAGAGCGACAGUUUCGUAAACUGUAGGUCAUGAGUUCGAUCCUCAUCGGGGGCU